GACGAACGCUGGCGGCGUGCUUAACACAUGCAAGUCGAACGGAAAGGCCCUGCUUUUGUGGGGUGCUCGAGUGGCGAACGGGUGAGUAACACGUGAGUAACCUGCCCUUGACUUUGGGAUAACUUCAGGAAACUGGGGCUAAUACCGGAUAGGAGCUCCUGCUGCAUGGUGGGGGUUGGAAAGUUUCGGCGGUUGGGGAUGGACUCGCGGCUUAUCAGCUUGUUGGUGGGGUAGUGGCUUACCAAGGCUUUGACGGGUAGCCGGCCUGAGAGGGUGACCGGCGACAGUGGGACUGAGAUACGGCCCAGACUCCUACGGGAGGCAGCAGUGGGGAAUAUUGCACAAUGGGCGGAAGCCUGAUGCAGCAACGCCGCGUGCGGGAUGACGGCCUUCGGGUUGUAAACCGCUUUCGCCUGUGACGAAGCGUGAGUGACGGUAAUGGGUAAAGAAGCACCGGCUAACUACGUG
rnacentral:rRNA from 1 species